CAANCUGGCGGCGUGCUUAACACAUGCAAGUCGAGUGCGCGUUUCCGUAGCAAUACGGGAAUGGCGCACGGCGCACGGGUGCGUAACACGUGGGUAAUCUGCCCUCUGAUGGGGAAUAACCCGCCGAAAGGCGGGCUAAUACCGCAUAACAUUCCUUGGACUCCGGUUCGAGGAUUCAAAGGCGCAAGUCGUCGGAGGUGGAGCCCGCGCACGAUUAGCUAGUUGGUAGGGUAAUGGCCUACCAAGGCUAUGAUCGUUAGCUGGUCUGAGAGGAUGGCCAGCCACACUGGAACUGAGACACGGUCCAGACUCCUACGGGAGGCAGCAGUGGGGAAUCUUGCACAAUGGGCGAAAGCCUGAUGCAGCGACGCCGCGUGGGGGAUGAAGCUUCUCGGAGUGUAAACCCCUUUCGACCGGGACGAAUGCCCGCAAGGGACUGACGGUACCGGUAUAAGAAGCCCCGGCUAACUACGUGCCAGCAGCCGCGGUAAGACGUAGGGGGCCAGCGUUGCUCGGAAUUACUGGGUGUAAAGGGUUCGUAGGCGGUGUGGCAAGUCGGGAGUGAAAUCUCUGGGCUUAACUCAGGGGCUGCUUCCGAAACUGCCGUGCUAAANUGUGGGGAAAAGCGCCUGGAAUUGCA
rnacentral:rRNA from 1 species